rnacentral:lncRNA from 1 species
AUGAUCUCUCUUUCUUGCUGUUUUUUUUUUUUUUUUUUUUUUCUUGUAGUAACAGUUUGCAAUACAGAGCAAACCAUUCUUUUGCUGUGGCUUAUUAAAGAGAUGAACAGCUGGAUAUUAGGAAUAACUCUGGACAUACCUGUUUCAAGUGAACAAAAGCAAACAAAUACAGAAGUCUGUAACCCAAUAUAUUCUCAAAAGAACAAUUUAUAUUAUAUAUGUAUUCCAGUAAGUAUAUAUUUUUCCCUUGAAAAGUGCUAUGUAGUUAAAAAAAUAACAUAAUUUAAAAAAACGGGGCAUGGUUAUGUCCAACAAGUAUAUGUUGAGCACUAUAACAUGUAAUGUGCUAUUGAUAGAAAUAUGAAUGACCAGAUUUUUUUUCCUCUGGUAAAACUUGGUUGGAGAUGAAUAUUUGAAGGGAUCAUUUCAAUACAGUGUUGUACAUGAAAAAUAGUAUUUACAGAGAUGUUAAAGCUAAUGGACUUUGGAGCCAGACUAAUUGAAUUUGGAUUCUCAGCUUUGUAACUGAGUAGCUGUGUGGUCUUCGGCAAAUUAAUUAACCUUUCUGUGUUUCUAUUUCAUUAUACAUAAAGGAAUAAUGAUAUUAACUACUUUAUAUGGUGGUUGCCUGGAUUACAUAAUUAAUGUAAAUUACAUGUUUAGCCUAGAGUCAGAAUUAUAUUGUUAACCAAAUAUAAUUUAUCAUUGUGAUUAGUGGUGCCAGGAUUAGUGAGAAAGUUUAGGGAUGACUUCCUUGAAAGCUCUCUUGCAGAGAUGAUUCUGGCUCUUGAAGACUAAAUAAAACCUCUCUAAAUGAAGAAAGGGAUUGUAGAAAAAUCCAGGAAUGGAGAGGAAUGAGCAGUUGACAAGGUUAUGAUGUUAUAAUCUUGAAGUAUUAUCAGUUUUUUUGCCAUGGAAUUUAAGGUAUAAGGAGGAGAGUGGAAUAAGGAACACUAAGGAGAUAAGCAGGAACUUUAUCAUGAAGAGAUUUGUAUGUCCCUCAAAGGAGAUUUGACUUGUAUUUCCCUCAAAGGAGAUUUGACUUUACCUUGUAAGUGAUGGAUAUAAAUUAAAAGUGUUUUUUUAAAAAAGGGGAGUGAGGGGUACCUGGCUGGCUCAGCUGGAAAAGCUUGUGACUCUUGAUUUUGGGUUUGUGAGCUUGAGCCCCAUGUUGGGUGUAGAGAUUACUAAAAACCAAACAAACAAACCAAAAAAUAAGAGAUGCACCUCAGUCAGUUAAGCAGCUGAAUCUUUUUUUUUUUUUUUUUUUUUUUUUUGAAUCUUGAUUUUGGCUCAGGUCAAGAUCUCACGGUCAUGAGAUUGAGCCUUGCAUUGCAGCAGGGUCUGUGUUGGGUGUGGAGCCUGCCUCUCUCUCCUGCCUCCCCCCUCAUUCCAUGCACAUAGUCUCUCUCAUUCUCUCUCUGAAAAAAAUAAAAAAUAAAAUAAAACAGAGUGAACUGAUUAGAUUGGGUUUUGUGUAAGUCUCUCUGGGUGCAGUAGAUUGAGAGAAAUAAGAUGGAAGGCAGAAAACAGUUUAUGAGGCUAUUGAAAAUAUCACUGGAUAAUAUAGAUUAAAUUGUUUGAUUGUAAUAAGGAUUAAUUUACAGGUCUGUUUUUGAAACAAUAUCACUUUGUGUUUUAAAAUUUAAAUGAGAAGAAAAAGAUACUACUACAGGUGAACCAGUUCUCAUGGGAACAGUGUAAAUGGAAGAAAAAGUUGACAUUUUUCCUGAUAUUUCCCAGAAAAAAGUUGACUGCAUAUAUAACCAUUACAAUGACUUCUGUGUGUUUUUGUAAGAAGUCUGUAAAUAUCCUAUGUGAUAAUUAUAUACAUAGAGGCAUAUGACAUCAUUUCUUCCCUUUUCUACCUUGUAAUAAUAGGAGUAGUAACAGUGGUGGCAGCAGUAGUGUUCUUAUAACUUAUUUGGUAAGGAG